AGUGAACGCUGGCGGUAGGCCUAACACAUGCAAGUCGAACGGCAGCACAGUAAGAGCUUGCUCUUACGGGUGGCGAGUGGCGGACGGGUGAGGAAUACAUCGGAAUCUACUUUUUCGUGGGGGAUAACGUAGGGAAACUUACGCUAAUACCUCAUACCACCUACGGGUGAAAUCAGGUGAUCUUCGUACCUUUCGCGAUUGAAUGAGCCGAUGUCGGAUUAGCUAGUUGGCAGGUGAAAGGCCGACCAAGGCGACGGUCCGUAGCUGGUCUGAGAGGAUGAUCAGCCACACUGGAACUGAGACACGGUCCAGACUCCUACGGGAGGCAGCAGUGGGGAAUAUUGGACAAAGGGCGCAAGCCUGAUCCAGCCAUACCGCGUGGGUGAAGAAGGCCUUCGGGUUGUAAAGCCCUUUUGUUGGGAAAGAAAAGCAGCAGGUUAAUACCCCGCUGUUCUGACGGUACCCAAAGAAUAAGCACCGGCUAACUUCGUG
rnacentral:rRNA from 1 species